AUCAGACACUUUGCAUUACUUUCUCUAUAAAAAGAUAAACACUAACAUUUUAUGACACAAUUUGAAAUGAAAUGUAAUACAUUCUGAAAUUUAACAGCGCAUAGUUUAAUUUGUCUUCAAUAAUAUACAAGGAUCUGCAGUAUAGUCUGACUGCUCAAUGUACAGUAUCAUGGAACUUUUUCUAUUUAAUUGUGUGGUAAUUUAUAUGGAAACUGUAAACAAAGAUAAUUUGGUAAAUUGUGUGGAAGCCCUGUAAGGCAAGGUGAAAAAAUAAAAUUUGCGAAACCAAGAUCAACUUUAAGAUUAUCUCUCGUGUGAUACGGAAGAGGAUUAGGGCCUCAUGUAAAAAAAUUAUUUGAGUUCUGAGUUUAAACUCGUAAUUCUGAGUGAUAGUCAGACUUAAAACUUAGAUACAGUAAGUGAUUGCAAGAAAUUAGUUUUUUCUGCCUCGAAAGAUGUACAUUGCAAUUUUGAAGAAAAAAAUGCUAGUUUUCAAAGUUCAAGUCAAGUCAACUUUAUUGUCAAUUCUGCAAUAUGUGCCAGACAUACAGAGCAAUUGAAAAUAUGUUUGUCUCCGACCCACAGUGCAAUAAGGACACGUACGACAAGUAUACUAUAAAAAAGACAAGGAAUAUAUACAAAUAUGAUAAAGAAAGAUAAGUUAUAUAUACAAUUAAAAAGAUAAGUAAUAUGUACAAUACAGUAAUACAUUCUGAAUAGUGCAAAUGUAAGGCAAAAUCAACGCUGUAACACUGUAAAACUUUACAGUUACUUCUUGUUCUGACAUUUUACAAAGUUUAGCUUUAUAUCACAUUGUGGGUCCAAAAUAAUUACACUAGCUGACAGCAUUUUUCCAUGGUAACAUAUUGUUAAAUUACAGGCAAGUUGCGUUCUGACUGUAAAUUAUGCAUAUACAGUUUAAUAUUGUUAAUACUGCGUUGCACAAGACGGUUUGAAACAGGGGCUAGUGAUGUGCGGAUCGAUACUAAAGUAUCGAUAUUUACGAUCCCAACGUCUCCUGCUCUAGUAUCGAUUCUCAUAUAAAAAGAUCGAUAUUUAAACUCAGUAAUUUGGAGUGAGUGUUUAUGUUAUCAUAAGUAACUUGUUGUCACCUGAAAAGUCUGAUUAUAACCGGUUAGGGGAAGGAACUACUUCUCCUUCCGCCGGUCAGUUGUGUGUGCACUGCGGCUCUGUGACGGAGCCGGCCGCUGCAGCAGCCCUUCUUUAAUUUCCCGCUAUGAAGACUGCAGACUGCAAAGUGACUAUGGCUGACCGCAAAAGGAGUCAUGUCUGGCUGUAUUUUAGCUGUAAAGACAGCAGUGACGCUGUGUGUGGACAUUUUUUUAUUUGUGUGUAAUUUUCAACCUGUUUUACUGUACAAGUCUCUGAGAUUUUCUUUAUAAUUAAAUAAUAUGAGAGUAGUUUAUUGUCUUGACUUUAUGCAGCUAUAGCCUACUUUGGAAUUGGUAAGCCUACAGCCUACUUUUUUAUUUUACUUUAAACUAUUUGUCACAUCACACUACAAAUAAAAUACGUAAAAAGUAUUGGUAUUGGUAUCGGUAUCGGCAAUACCAGCCUGGGUAUUACUUGGUAUCGGAUCGAACAGGAAUUAAGUGGUAUCGCACAUCACUAACAGGAGCAUCUGACAACUGAAGAAGAGGAGGAACGGUCGGAGUGCUUUACUUUUCAAUAAUCUACAGGUGCAGAGGGAAGCACGACCAGUGGGCGCCACAGCUGAAGACAACAGUGAUGACUAUCACCUACAUUUCCUUAUAAACAGUUUCUUUUCAGUUUCUUUUUGUGAUUUCAGAUAUUUAAUUGGAAUCGACCCAACCAGUGGCACCAAGAUGGUAAAGCUGGACAGCCAAAGACGUAAGAAGGUGCAUGAGAAGAAGAGCUCACGUCAAUCCUUUUUUAGCUACAAUCUUUAUGUUUUUUUGAUUUAACUGUCAAAAAAUAUUUACAUGUGGAUUGUAACGCUCUAUUGAUUUUAAUAAAAGUUUUGUUUUGUUGCA